rnacentral:rRNA from 1 species
GGGUCAGUAGGUUGGUCGUGCCACCGGUACGUACUGGUCUCACUGAUUCCUCUUUCCUGAAGAACCGUAAUGCCAUUAAUUUGGUGUUGCGGGGAAACAGGACUGUUACUUUGAAAAAAUUAGAGUGUUUAAAGCAAGCUAACGCUUGAAUACAUUAGCAUGGAAUAAUGAAAUAGGACGAUCGAUCCUAUUUUGUUGGUUUCUAGGAUUGACGUA